AUUGAACGCUGGCGGCAGGCCUAACACAUGCAAUUCGAACGAGUGGCGGACGGGUGAGUAAUGUCUGGGAAACUGCCCGAUGUAGGGGGAUAACUACUGGAAACGGUAGCUAAUACCGCAUACCAUCGGAUGUGCCCAGAUGGGAUUAGCUAGUUGGUGGGGUAACGGCUCACCAAGGCGACGAUCCCUAGCUGGUCUGAGAGGAUGACCGGUCACACUGGAAAUGAGACACGGUCCAGACUACGACGGGAGGCAGCAGUGGGGAAUAAUGGACAAUGGGCGCAAGCCGGAGACAGCCAUGCCGCGUGUAUGAAGAAGGCAUUCGGGUUGUAAAGUACUUGCAGCGGUGAGGCGGUACCCGCAGAAGAAGCACCGGCUAACUCCGUGCCAGCAGCCGCGUUAAUAC
rnacentral:rRNA from 1 species